rnacentral:rRNA from 1 species
UGCUAUAAUGCAAGUAGAACGCUGACGAGAGGAGCUUGCUCUUCUUGGAUGAGUUGCGAACGGGUGAGUAACGCGUAGGUAACCUGCCUUGUAGCGGGGGAUAACUAUUGGAAACGAUAGCUAAUACCGCAUAACAAUGGAUGACCCAUGUCAUUUAUUUGAAAGGGGCAAAUGCUCCACUACAAGAUGGACCUGCGUUGUAUUAGCUAGUAGGUGAGGUAACGGCUCACCUAGGCGACGAUACAUAGCCGACCUGAGAGGGUGAUCGGCCACACUGGGACUGAGACACGGCCCAGACUCCUACGGGAGGCAGCAGUAGGGAAUCUUCGGCAAUGGGGGCAACCCUGACCGAGCAACGCCGCGUGAGUGAAGAAGGUUUUCGGAUCGUAAAGCUCUGUUGUAAGUCAAGAACGAGUGUGAGAGUGGAAAGUUCACACUGUGACGGUAGCUUACCAGAAAGGGACGGCUAACUACGUGCCAGCAGCCGCGGUAAUACGUAGGUCCCGAGCGUUGUCCGGAUUUAUUGGGCGUAAAGCGAGCGCAGGCGGUUUGAUAAGUCUGAAGUUAAAGGCUGUGGCUCAACCAUAGUUCGCUUUGGAAACUGUCAAACUUGAGUGCAGAAGGGGAGAGUGGAAUUCCAUGUGUAGCGGUGAAAUGCGUAGAUAUAUGGAGGAACACCGGUGGCGAAAGCGGCUCUCUGGUCUGUAACUGACGCUGAGGCUCGAAAGCGUGGGGAGCGAACAGGAUUAGAUACCCUGGUAGUCCACGCCGUAAACGAUGAGUGCUAGGUGUUGGAUCCUUUCCGGGAUUCAGUGCCGCAGCUAACGCAUUAAGCACUCCGCCUGGGGAGUACGACCGCAAGGUUGAAACUCAAAGGAAUUGACGGGGGCCCGCACAAGCGGUGGAGCAUGUGGUUUAAUUCGAAGCAACGCGAAGAACCUUACCAGGUCUUGACAUCCCGAUGCUAUUUCUAGAGAUAGAAAGUUACUUCGGUACAUCGGUGACAGGUGGUGCAUGGUUGUCGUCAGCUCGUGUCGUGAGAUGUUGGGUUAAGUCCCGCAACGAGCGCAACCCCUAUUGUUAGUUGCCAUCAUUCAGUUGGGCACUCUAGCGAGACUGCCGGUAAUAAACCGGAGGAAGGUGGGGAUGACGUCAAAUCAUCAUGCCCCUUAUGACCUGGGCUACACACGUGCUACAAUGGUUGGUACAACGAGUUGCGAGUCGGUGACGGCAAGCUAAUCUCUUAAAGCCAAUCUCAGUUCGGAUUGUAGGCUGCAACUCGCCUACAUGAAGUCGGAAUCGCUAGUAAUCGCGGAUCAGCACGCCGCGGUGAAUACGUUCCCGGGCCUUGUACACACCGCCCGUCACACCACGAGAGUUUGUAACACCCGAAGUCGGUGAGGUAACCUUUUGGAGCCAGCCGCCUAAU